CAACUCCCCUCGAUAGUCAACAGUGAUAGGUACUUCCUCGGUUGCUAAUGUUGACUGGGAGGGAUCGAGAUACUGGACUCACCCUAUACGAUGAGUUCCGACGACGAGACCGAUAACCCCCGUAAAAGACGGCGCAUAGCUGCUCCCGAGACCAGUCCGUAUGUGCUUCGAGAGCUCAUAGAUUCAGUUCCGGUUGCUGGUGACGGGGCCGAGCAAGAUGCCUAUAUCACCUGUGUAGAAUAUUGGAACGAUAAUCUCUACAUCGGAACCUCUGCUGGAGAGGUCCUACAUUUCGUUUCUUUCCCUUCCGAUUCGCAAGGAUUGGACGAGCCGUCCUUCAUUUUGGCUUCCAGGCUAUCCAUCACGCCAUCACAAAGCAGCCUACCUACAGACACACCGCUCGGAGUGCAGCAGAUACUCAUUCUACCUUCUACAUACAAAGCCUGCAUUCUAUGUAAUGGCGUCGUCACAUUUUACUCGCUCCCCGAGCUAAGUCCGACCUAUGGAACUACAAAAGUGGGCAACUGUAAAUGGAUUGGGGGGCUCGAUCUCAAUGAAUCACAUGAGGGUGCAGACCUGUUUGAUCCGGUGGUUAUGAUUGCAGUUUCUAACAGAAUAAUGCUUGUGAGAAUUGGCGACGAACCUCGAAGAGUGAGAAAUAUUGAGUUCCCAGGGUGUCUUGCAUCCGCUCGCAGAGGUACAAUUGCAUGCGUUGCAGACGCAUAUUCCUACUCUCUAUUGGAAGUGGAGCACCGCCAGAAGAUCCCAUUAUUUCCAAUUUCUUCCUCAGAGGAAAGCUUUGAAUCUGGUCAUGUGGAAGACAUACCAGUUCGAACUGACACCCCUGUUCAAGGAAACCAGCCUCCAUCGAUUUCAAAUGCCCCAGGACACGGUAGAAGCGCGAGUCUAAAUACACUAAGUGGCAUUGGGCACAUCCAACCAAACCCCCAUCCAAACUUUCCCGAAAGAUCAAGCUCCAUAACUCAGGAGUCCUACAUGAAGAAUAGGACUCUCCCUGGUUCGCCAGGCUCCCCUGAGAAAAAAUCUCCUGAUUCAUCAGGACCAUCUUCAGAGAACGGUGGGCCAGGCUCCGACGGAUCGUCUCCGUUAUACCAAAAGCCAUUGCCACCCCCACCUCCGAAACAAUCGACGACGCGACUCAAGCCACAUGUUGUAUCACCAACCGCUUCCGAAUUUCUCCUGGUUACGGGCACUGAGCCGUCGGAGCCUGGUGUGGGUAUGUUUGUUAAUGUCGAGGGGGACGUGGUUCGGGGGACUCUUGAGUUUCGCAAAUACCCAAUGGCCAUUGUAGUCGAUGACGACAGUGACGAGGGAAACCAUCCGCGUACGACUGACGAAAAUCAGAAUGGGUAUGUCUUGGCAGUUAUCAGCGCUGACGACGACGAGGACAGCCGAACAUAUCUCGAGGUGCAGAGGUGGAAUGCAGUUCCAGGGGAACGUAGGUUACAAAAGACAUCGGUAGAAAUACCCUCAGCCAGCCCAUCUCCCGGCGCGGUUGGAAUUAGGCGUUCUGUCGGUGCCAGCCGUGCCUCCUUUUCAGAAAUCGUCGAGGUGAUGCGGAUGGUUCGAUUAAAGUUGUCCAGCGUAAUUUCGCCAACGAUUCCUUCAACACCCUCAGAGAAUAGCGACCCGAGAACCCGGGCCUCCCUCGAACAUCUACAAAAGGAAAGGGAGCUAUUUGAUAAUCAGGACACCGACUCUGAGGGCCCAAAGCAUCCUUCUUCAUCGAGUGUUAGCCGUGACUGGGAAGUUCAAAGGAACCAAGAAGAAACCAAGUUUGCCCGUGGGCUCGCAACUGUCAACAGCAGUAUACUUCUCUGGGAAGGAAACAAAAUUUGGAGGGUUCUACAGAAUCCGCUGGCGCUGCAAUUGGAGAAUUCUCUCGAAUUGGCUAAGCAAACAAGUAGCACCGACGGGAAUGAGGCUGCUAUUGAUAGAGAAGCCAUUAUAGCUCUUAUCCAAGGACUUCAAGAUAUGGAACCCAAAACAGAAACAGAAUACAUCGGUUUGCGUUACGUCCGACAGAAGGCAAGUUUGCUUCUCUUUGUUGAUCUACUCUCCGCGAACGCUGCGUCUCGGGUCGAGUCGACGAUAAAAUCAACGGAAGAUGCGCUCGUCGCCGGGGAGCUCGACCCACGAGUGAUUCUUCUUUUAAUACCUCUACUUAAAGAUGAAGUACUUCAAGGCCCGCAAGGGAUCUGGGUAUACAAUGGCCUAGUCAAGGUGAUAUCAUCGCGUUUCAGUCCACCAGAUGUAGAAACAGAACAUAAACUACCAAAUUUUCGCAUCGAUGACGAUAUUCUUCACAUGAUUAGGCGUUACCUACUUGGUUGGCAGAAGAAACGAGGCUAUGGUAGUGUGACAGAUGAGACGUAUGUGUUUAAUAGUGUCGACGCUGCCUUGCUACAUUUACUGCUUUAUCUAGAUGCGAAACAUAUUCACGAAAGAAAUGCGCCACUUGGAGGUUCUCUGCGCUCAGAGCUGAACAAGCUCGUUGACAACUGGAAGGGUAACUUUGAUAGAGCUGUUCAUCUACUCGAAAAUUACAAUAGGCUUUUUGUGCUUAGCAGGCUGUAUCAGAGCCAGAAAAUGGCCAAGCAUGUUCUAGCAACAUGGCGAAGGAUAGUCGAGGGAGAAAAGGACGAAGGAGGGGAGCUAUCGGGUCCAGCAGCUGACAUUCAAAUUCGAAAAUAUCUGGUAAAAAUCCGAGAUGCUCAUUUGGUUGAGGAGUAUGGUCCGUGGCUUGCUGCGCGAAACCCCAAACUUGGAAUCCAAGUCUUUGCGGAUGAGAGCAGCAGAGUGAAAUUCAGUCCACCGCAGGUAAUUUCACUGCUGCAAAAUCAUGCUCCAGGGGCUGUCCAAGAGUAUCUAGAGCACCUUGUUUUCACAAAAAAGGAUACCCAAUACGCCGAUGAUCUUAUAGCCUACUAUCUCGACACUGUCCUUUCAAUCCUCGAAUCCUCCCCGGAAGCUCGCGCCUCGUUGACAGAAUCCUACUCAACCUACCGCGCGCUACAAGCCCCAAAACCUUCUUAUCUGAGCUUCAUCACUCACAACCACCCUCCAGAACCGUGGUGGCAAUCCCGUCUCCGCCUCCUCCAACUACUAGGAGGCGGCUCAACAACCCAAUUUACCUCCGCUUCCCCUCCGACCAACCUCUCCUACUCCAUCUCCGCAGUGCUCGCUCGCAUCGAACCGUUCAAAAACGAACUCGUCUCUGAAAACAUAAUCCUCGACGGCCGCCAAGGCCGCCACCGCGAGGCCCUCCGCCUCCUUACCCACGGCCUCAGCGACUACGACACCGCAAUUCGCUAUUGUGCGUACGGCGGACCAACCUGGUCCGCGCCACCGGCGACAACAACAAGCGACACGGCCACAGCCGCGAGACAGGCUGAACUCUUCACCUACCUCCUCACGGAGUUCCUGCAGAUCGCAGACCCCGUCUGCCGCGCCGAACGCACUAGCGAUCUGCUCGCGCGCUUCGCGUCGGUGUAUGAUAUUGCGGAUGUGCUCCGGUUGGUUCCAGACGAGUGGAGCGUGGAUAUCCUGAGCGAGUAUCUGGUGCGUGUUUUGCGGGGAGUCGUAAGCAGCGUGCGGGAGGCGAAGGUGCAACGGGCGCUCAGCGCGGGAUUGUAUUUGAGAGUUGACGCGGGAUUUGGGGAGAA
rnacentral:sRNA from 1 species